CAACGAUACCAUUGGCAUUUGGCAAAAGCAGAGCUCCAGGCUCAUAUUUCUGAAGGUUUGAAUGUGUAGCUGUAUAAAGCUAUGUUUUCUGUGGAUCUAGCCCAAAGGUUUCUGGGCGUGAUCCUCCAACACAUCCUGCUGUUAUUCAGACGGGAAAGAUUUUGGAUGAAACCAGUUGCCUAUCUGGCUCGUGUCACACUUUCUUAGAAUUGAGACCCCACAAAAUGAAGCCUAAUGUUUUCUUGUGUGCUAACGAGGAGCUUUAGCCAAGCAAAUGGCCUUGUGGUAAAAUCUCAGUAGAGCCACUCUGAUCUUUCUUGGCUUUUUAUUGUGUGUAUACUGGGAAUGCAGCAAGUUCAAGGACUAAUGUGCCACUUUCUGAGCACAGCACUGCUUUUGGCUGGAUUUUUCUAGUUGGAAGGCUGAUCUUACCCCGUAGUAAAUAUAAUUAGCACCAGUAGAGGGAGCCAGUUUGACCUGAGUCUGCUUUGACCUGAGCAAAGUGAGAAGAUCAUGUUUGAUGCUACAUGUCCGACACUGACCUCAUCCGUGUUGACCCCUCGAAGAGCCACUGAAAGGUCAACGUGCUUGUCCAUGUCUUCGCUACAAACACUUUUAAACAGAGUCAGACAAGAACUUUCACACACACCACAUGAGUGUGUGUGU
ensembl:lncRNA